rnacentral:misc_RNA from 1 species
UCCUGUUUUAGUUGGAACCACCAGGUAAAUCUCUGGCAAUUCCUUUUCUAUUUUUUUCUGGUUAUAGGCUUUGAAUCCAAGAUCCUUAGUCCCCACAUUUCCUGUUGCUGUCCCUAUCAUUCUGCUAUGUCAUUAUUGGCAAUUGUUUAUAGUCAUGCUAUACUAUUAUUUGAAAUUUUGGUCCAAGAAUAGUGUGAGACUAUUUUUAUUAUGCUGCUAUGUUCUUAAUGUUAGAGAUAGAAAACCUAUCACUGGGUUUUUAGCCUUAAUUUUAAGCUCUUAGGUUCCUUAUAUAUCUAUAUGUGUGCAGGUGCGGAGCUAGAAACUCAAAUUUGGAGGGGCCAAAAAAAAAUAUUAAAAGGAAAAUAAAUGAAAUUUUGUUAAUAAUAGAGGGACUAAAAUAAAAAUAUAAAA